rnacentral:lncRNA from 1 species
GAGACAGAGUCUUGCUCUGUCGCCCAGGCUGGAGUGCAGUGGCGCAAUCUUGGCUCACUGCAACCUCCGCCUCCAGGGUUCAUGCCAUUCUCCUGCCUCAGCCUCCAGAGUAGCUGGGACUACAAGUGCCCGCCACCAUGCCUAGCUAAUUUUUUGUAUUUUUAGUAGAGGUGGGGUUUAACUGUGUUGGCCAGGAUGGUCUUGCUCUCCUGACCUGUGAUCUGCCCGCCUCAGCCUCCUGAAGUGCUGGGAUUAUAGGCGUGAGCCACCGCACCCAGCCUUACGAGUUCUUUGUAUAUUUUGGAUAACAACAGUUUAUCAACUAUGUCUUUUGCAAAUAUUUUCUUGCAUCCUUGGCUUGUCUUCUCAUUCUGUUAACAGGGUCUUUCACAGAACAGAACUUUUAAAAUUUUAAUGAAUCCCAGCUUAUCAAUUAUUUAUUUCAUGGGUUGUGCCUUUGGUGUUUUAUGUAAAAAAGUCUUCACCAUAACUAAUACCCAAUACCCAAUGUCACACAGAUUUUCUCUUGUUGUCUUCUAGGAGUUCUAUGAUUUUGCAUUUUACAUUUGGGCCUAUAAUCCAUUUUGAGUUAAUUUUUGUGAAACAUGUAAGAUCUUUGCCUAGAUGUUUUUUCAAGUGUUUGGCCAGUUCUUCAGCGCAAUUUGUUGAAAACAAUAUCUUUGCUUCAUUGUAUUGCUUUGUCGCUUUGUCAAAGGUCAGUUGACUGUAUUUAUUUGGCUCUAUUUCUGGGCUCUAUUCUGUUCCAUUGACAUAUUUGUCUAUUCUUUCACCAAUACCAUACUGUCUUGAUUAGUGUAGCUUUAAUAAUUAGUCUUGAAGUUGGGUAAUGUCAGUCUUCCAACUAUGUUCUCCUCCUUCAAUAUUGUGUUGGCUAUCCUGUCUCUUGCCUCUCCAUAUAAAUUUUAGAAUCAGUUUGGCAAUAUGCAGAAAAUAACUUGCUGGGAUAUUGGUUGGGUGUACUUGGCCAUUCUUGCUUUGGUGUAAAGGAAUACCUCAGACUGAGUAAUUUAUGAAGAAAAGAGGUUUAAUUGGCUCACAGUUCUGCAGGCUAUAAAAGCAUGGCACCAACAUCUGCUUGGCUUCUGGUGAGGACUUCAGGAAGCUUACAAUCAUGGCAUAAGGCGAAGUGGGAGCAGGCAUGUAACAUGACUAGAGUAACAGCAAGUGAGCCAGUGGGGGAGGGCCUAGAUUUUUAAACAACCAGAUCUUGAGCAAGAAUUCAAUUCUCACCAAUGGGAAAGUGAUAAAACAUUCUUGAGACAUCCGCCCCCACAAUCCAAUCACCUCCCAGGCCCCACCUCCAACACUGGGAAUAGUAUUUUAGCAUGAGAUUUAAAGGAGACAAACAUCCAACUUAUACCAUUGGGAUUGCAUUGAAAUUAUAGAUCAAGUUAGCAAGAACCAAUAUAUUGACAAUAUCGGAUCUUCCUAUGAAUGACUAUGGAAUAUAUCUCCAUUUUAUUUAGUUAUUUGAUUUCUUUCAGCAGAGUUUUAUAGUUUUUCUCACAUAAAUCUUGUGCAUAUUUUGUU